GACGAACGCUGGCGGCGUGCUUAACACAUGCAAGUCGAACGGAAAGGCCCUGCUUUUGUGGGGUGCUCGAGUGGCGAACGGGUGAGUAACACGUGAGUAACCUGCCCUUGACUUUGGGAUAACUUCAGGAAACUGGGGCUAAUAUCGGAUAGGAGCUCCUGCUGCAUGGUGGGGGUUGGAAAGUUUCGGCGGUUGGGGAUGGACUCGCGGCUUAUCAGCUUGUUGGUGGGGUAGUGGCUUACCAAGGCUUUGACGGGUAGCCGGCAUGAGAGGGUGACCGGCCACAUUGGGACUGCGAUACGGCCCAGACUCCUACGGGAGGCAGCAGUGGGGAAUAUUGCACAAUGGGCGGAAGCCUGAUGCAGCAACGCCGCGUGCGGGAUGACGGCCUUCGGGUUGUAAACCGCUUUCGCCUGUGACGAAGCGUGAGUGACGGUAAUGGGUAAAGAAGCACCGGCUAACUACGUG
rnacentral:rRNA from 1 species